GGGACCCUAAACAGAGAAAAUUUGAUUGGAAUUCAAGAUAAAUUGAAGGUUUUAGGCUUAAAAUCAGUUUGUUUCAUUCCAGGUUGGAAUUUAAUUUUAAACCUCAAAAUUAGUCCCAAAAACCACCUAAAUUCCAGUCACUAUAGUGACUGUUCCUAUUCAAUUAAGGCAUGUUUUGUAAUACAACUGAAUGGGUAUUAUUCAAAACCAUUUAAAAAACACACGGUCGUUUAUUCUGGUCUGGUCUGUGGGAUGUAAGAAACGCGCAUGGGGCUGAGCUAAACAAUAAACACAAAAGCUGAACAGCGAUGAGCUUCGCGCGCCUUUCUGAUAAACGGCCGUAUAAGAUCGCGGUGGGAAGUUCUGCGUCCGAAUCUCGACAUGGCCAGGUUAUCGGCAGGUGCAUUGCCGCUGAACGCUUAAGUGCUUCGCUUCAAUGCACCACAAUGCAGAGCCGACGUUCCGCAUCAAUGCAGUUGUUUGAAGUGCGUUUUUUGAAAUGUUUUCGCAAAAAACAUUCAACCUGAUGGACCAACCGAAGUCCAAAACGGAAAAGAGUGCUUGUUAGAGUGCAUUUAAGCCAUCAAACGUUCGUGCUUUCGAUUUAAAAGUAAAACAAUUACACAAAACUAUACAAAGCGAGUGAGAAGAAUCUUAAAUGAGAAAACCAAUUAUUUUAAUUGACACCAAGAGCUCCGAAUUAAGCGAUUAUCUCAAUUUAAGCUGGUUAAUUAUUAUCCGAAAAUUCUGGCCAGAACAAAAAAUGUUGACACGAGAUCUUAAGAUAAAUGUAUCUGUAUCUGAAAGAAAUACUGUAUGAUUAGUCA